UCGAAUAGGAAACGUUUUACUGCCAUUUUUUCGUUUCGUCUUAGUGUGAAAUCUUUAAUUUUACUGAAAAUAAGAGAAAAAUGAGUGUUUUAUUCAACAGUUUUUGUUCUGUUAUCGUUUGCUAAGCGAGGACAGUCCAUCAGGUAGUGUCAACAAGAUUCUACAGGAAAUAAAUAACCCGUAAGCCUGAAUAGAACAUUCGAUAUGGGUAAGUCGAUGCCACCAUUUGUGUUUUUAAUUAUUGAGAUUCCAAAUCGCUUAUUUACAGGUGAGAUAAGAAUAACUUUUCGCUUCCAUCGCCCAUUCCGAAAGUCGGAACGGAGCGCUAUCUGACAAAAUCCGGUGGUUUCAGAAGUUUCGAGUUUUUGCUUGAACUAGAGCAUGUCUUUCAUCAAGCAACCAGUUGAGCAGUUGCGAGAUAAGAACAAAAGGCGUCUUAAUGAAGAAGAGUAAUGAAAAUUUCAUUUUCCAAAGUUUCAACGAAAUUUCUGAUAUUUUCAUACGGACACACCAAAAACACUGCCUUCAAAGCUCCCACAUCAGUAUAUCUGAAAUCUAACUACCACCGCUACCACCCCGAUAAAUUUUUUGGUCAUGAAAGAGUCCAAUGUCCAACUGUGGGCAUGGGUGUGUGGAAGCAACAGCAGCAGCAUCAGCAGUAGUAGCAACGAGGCUGGCACCUGCCACAGUUAACGUAUAACAACAACCGGCGACGCAACAGCGGAAGAGAAAAGUUCGCUAGAAUCUUCGUACAAACCAAAACAACAACAAGAGCGGAAUCUUCCGACAAUGUUUUGGGCACUGUUCAACUGGCUAAUAAAACGCUCUGUGGUGGCAACGAAAACGAAAGAGAAGAUUUCUUUCGACGGUUCGGCGAAACAAAACGAUUUCUAUGAGUCCGAUUUUUUUCGAAAGACAUGUUUCCCAAGAUGUGCCGAUUCUUCUACAACCUAAGUCAAGCAAAUAAUCUUGAUCGGAUCUCUGAGUAGGUAUACCAUCUCACGUCAUCAGUUGGCUUUUGUGCAUGGCCUUCAGAAGCAGUUACCGUCAGUGAAACCCCCAUCAAAAUGUAUGAUCCCAUCGUUGUACUGUUUCGAUAUACAAGCUUUGAUCUACACAAAGCUUUGUUUUGGGAUGCUCCAAGCAAUAGUCCUUCAAGAGCACUCAACACUUUUCAAAAGUAACGGAAACCAAUUGCGUUGAUCGGUGCUGAUAAGCUGGACGCGGUAAUCAUCACUUAUCAAUCAAAAGCUACUGAAUCCGAAAGCCAAAAGCUGAUGUAAAAGUUAAAAAAUACGUCAGGCACUGCACCAGUUACUUAUGCCAAGCAGCAACAUCACAAACCAAGGCAUCAGUGAGCAUUGUUAAAAAAAACUUGAUAGCUUCGGAAGCUGCUACCAGCCGUACUUAGCAACAACAAUCUGCUUCUCCGAAGCCGCUAUGGAUGAUACGUUGUUUCUGCUAGAAGUCCGUAGAAAGGGUUUACCUCUUGAGAAAUUGGCUCACAACCAUUCCGAAAUUAAUUUUGAAUCUUAUGAUGCCCAGAAAGUCUCCAGUUAUCUGUGGAAAGACGUUAAGAGUUUCAUUUGAGUUAUUGGAACUCUUGUCUAACAGAAUAUCAUCGUUUGAAAUGUGAUACCUAUUUGAAUAAUCUAGAGGGUAAAUCAUAAAUGACUUCAUAUGGUUUCCGAGCAAACGCCUUCACCUUCUGCACCAACAGCUGUUGCCCCUGAGAGCAGCACCUGCAGCCUGUUCAGCAGCAGCAUCUACUGUGUAUACGGUCCAACUCAAGCGGGUGCAAUAAUUGGCGAG